rnacentral:rRNA from 1 species
UCCAGACUCCUACGGGAGGCAGCAGUGGGGGAUAUUGCACAAUGGGGGGAACCCUGAUGCAGCGACGCCGCGUGGGUGAAGGAGCGUUUCGGCGCGUAAAGCCCUCUCAGCAGGGAAGAAGAUGACGGUACCUGACCAAGAAGCUCCGGCUAAAUACGUGCCAGCAGCCGCGGUAAUACGUAUGGAGCAAGCGUUAUCCGGAUUUACUGGGUGUAAAGGGAGCGCAGGCGGCCUUGCAAGUCUGAUGUGAAAGGCCGGGGCCCAACCCCGGGACUGCAUUGGAAACUGCGAGGCUGGAGUGCAGGAGGGGCAGGCGGAAUUCCUGGUGUAGCGGUGAAAUGCGUAGAUAUCAGGAGGAACGCCGGUGGCGAAGGCGGCCUGCUGGACUGCAACUGACGUUGAGGCCCGAAAGCGUGGGGAGCAAACAGGAUUAGAUACCCUGGUA